GAGCCGUAUAAGCUGCCUUGUUGAGUUCGUGCAGGCAAGACGCACGUUGGCUUUCCAGGGACUCUUGCUCGCGGUGAUUCAGUUCCACUUGCGGUGGAAGAAGCAGUUUAAACGAGGAAUGGUUUGGGGCCUUUUUCCCGUCGAUCCUCUCUCAGGGGAAGAUGGUUACUAUGUCUUUGCUUCAGGAACGUACAAAGUAGGUCGCAAAGGUUGUGAAGUAAUUAUUACCAAAGACAAAGGCGUAUCUCGGAUCCAUGCAGAGAUAGUUGUUGAUGCCAUGACUUCCAGUAUUUUGUCCAAAGUUCGUGUUAGAGAUUGCUCCAAGUAUGGAACAUUUAUUGACAAGAAUCUUGGGCAAACGGAAAAAGUUCAUGAGCUCCCAAAUAAGGAAGCAACUUUAGGAGAUGGGGACCUGGUGCGUUUUGGAACUGGUACUGCAAACUACAGGUUUUCUUUCAUCCCACUGAUAUUUUUUGUGUGCUCGGAGUCCUUCCUUUCGAAUCAACCCCUUCAAGACAAAAUUUCAUCAAUUGGAGCUCUUGUUACUCAGAGUCUGAUUCAAGAAUGCACUCAUGUGCUUGUUGAUCAACUCAUGCUGGUGAAUGACGAUAUCAUUGAUGCUGUUGUAUCAAAGAAACCUAUUGUUCUUGAUAGUUGGGUUGAGUUUGUUGCAGAAAAGAAAAUUCGCUCUGAAAUUCCUAGUUUCAGUUUAUAUGCCCCAAUGCUGACAGUAGGAGGAGUGUCAGUCAAAGUUGCAGACCCUAAAUCUCGUGAAAACUGUUUGGAAGGAUACACUUUUUUGUUGGGGUCAACACACAUGUACAAGUUCAGGGAUCGAUUGCAAUCCUUAUUGGAAGUGGGUGGCGCGAAGAUUGUUUCUAUAAAAGGAUUUUGUUUGAGUAGCCAGGACACGGAGCAUGGAGACAAUGAUCGCAUGGUUUGUGUUGUCCCUGGAGGAUCAACAGAGGAGUAUGAUCAAUUCCAAAAACUCAGUUCAUUGUCGAGAGUAAAUGAGAUGGAUUUAGUAUGUGCCAUUUUAUCUGGAGGGAUGGAUCCAUCCAUAUUGAUAUCGCCAUGCAUUCUUGUUUCAUCUUCCUGCUCCACAGAAGAAACAGUGGUAGCAGAUUCUGAUGUAGAGGAGGAAACAGCUACAUCAAUUCAUGCAAAUGCCACAGUCUGCGAUGAUGAAGCCAUUAAAUUUGUGAGCAAAGCUGAAACAUCCAUGGAUCAUGCUGCUGCCAAAUCAGAGGAUGCCCAUGUUAUGAGCGGCAUAGAUGGUAGUUAUGGUAUGACAGUGGGAAGAGACAAGGUUGAUGAGACCGAAUGUGGGAAUGCUGAUAUAAUCUACAGCCAAGAUUUAGUUGUGCAGUAUAUGGACUUACCUUCUCGUGCCAAUACUAUUGCCAACAAUGGAGUUCUAAAUUUCAAACACUUCAGGAAGACAAAUACCCAAUCUGGGAAUAGCUUCAACAAUUUAAUCCCGUUUUCAAAGUACCCGUUCAAAGAUUCUGACUACGGGAGUGAGGAAGUGGUUGAGUCGGUUAUGGCUGAGAAAAAGCGAAAGCAAAUGGAAGCCAUUGCAGAAGACUUAUUUAACAAUGAGAAGGGGAGGCGGCGUGGCAUCGCUGGUUCUCUCCGUGGGCUUCUUACUCAAGUUUAGCCAAGCACAUUUCCUCAAGCUUCUGAGCACAAUGUUUCCAUCAGUAAGCGACCCUCAGCCUACCUUGUACUAAUCGAUACUGGGAAAUCUGCAGUGGACAAAGAUGGGUAGCAUUGCCUUACAACGUCCCAUCUGUAUGCACGCGGCUCGCAAUGUGCUUAUAAGAAAAUUUUAUGGACAUACAUACAUACAUAUAUGUGUGUGUGUGUGUGUAAACUGUGCAGAAGUAAUGCUGCAGCUUCUCCUUGGUUGGAAUUGGAUGUCUGAAUGCAGUUAGUUACAACAAAGAUUGGAGUACCUGCUGCAUUUCUACAAAUUGCAGCAGUGGUACUACCAUGAUAUCUAUCGGCUACAUCAAAGGUUAAGAAGCAAUGAUCUUGAGGGAUGGCUUUCCAAUCAUGGCUUGAGUUAAUCAAUUUAUUUUCCUAUGCAUCACAGUGUUCUUUGUGUGUUUUUAAAGUGGAUGACACAAAGGUGUGAACAUUAGGCUUAAACCCAUCAUGGACAACUUUAUUCCUUAGGUACCAGAUACUAUCCAUUGCAAUUAAUGCAAAGAUCUGAAAUUGGUGCUCAUCUGGAGGAGGUAUUUCUAACUGUCCUAUGGGGUCAAUGAUGCAUCUAAUCCAAUGGUCUAUGCUAUGAUUUUCGAAGGCAGAAAUGUUUAUAGGCCAGGGAGAGUUCCUCCAAAGUAUUAUGGUGAAAGUGCAAGUUAGAAACAGAUGAGGGAUACUUUCUUCUCCAGAGUUACAUAUGGGACAGUGAAGGUCUUCUUGGUUCAUAGGGAUGAACUUACAAAGGAGAGCACGAGUGAGAAUGAUAUUACAGAGGAUCUUCCAACAGAAAAAUUUAAGCCUGUCCUGGACCUUGAGCUUCCAAAUACUCUUCCAAAGGUUUGUUUGGUGUGAACUUUAGUUUUCAUUAUUGCUUUGACUCCCCACUAUGGCUGCAUAAGCCGAUUUUAUGCUAAAUUUUCCUGAGGAAUGGUGGAUCCAAACAAGCUUAUCUUCCCUAUUUUGGUAGUUAUCCUGGGCUAAAGGUAUUUUCAAAAUCUCUUCAACAGAAGAUUGGUGGAAAAGGGUUUGGAGAAGAAUCGUAUUCCAACUUCUUGGAUUUUCCAUCAUAAGCUCAGAGACUUUCAUGUUGGGAUCAAUUUGGAUCGAGUUAUCCUUUGGAGUUGGGAUUAAGGGUGGAGUGGUUGGAAUCCAUUGAUCAAUCCAAACUUUUGUUUUCACUCCAUUAUUAAUCUGAUGACAGAUACUUGUCUGCAGCAUAUCCUUUUGGCUGAGGAUUCCUUUCCAUGUCCAAGAGUCUGUGGGCUUUUGAAGGGCAUUGAGGAAGGAGGUAUUCUUUAAGUACUUUCCAGCUAGAAUAUUGAUCAAAUUUGAACGAUUUCCAAUAACGAUUUGCCAUCCAAUUUUGCAGAGGAAAGCUCUGUUGAAAUCAGAGAAUAGUCUAAUGCCAAGGCCGCCCAUUAACUUAGGUUUGCAUAUAGACUUCCAAGAUUUUGGGGUGAGAUUAUGAUUUUUUCCAGUAGGAAAACCUCACCAAAAUUUCAUAAACUAGGUCUUAAAUUACUUGGUUUGCUAUAAAAUAUAAGCUUAAUAAUGCGUGAAACAUGGUGAUAUGAACUCUGCUUGGAUGAUCUACAACCAUGCCACGACAGCUUAACUUAGUCAUUUGUUGCGCCCAUCGCUCCUUCCAACUUGGCAAUCCAACCGUUGACAGAAUCUCAUGUUUCGCGACUUGAAUUAGGAAUACAUCUUUGUGUUUUGGCUGAUGAAUAUCAAAACAUAAUUAAAUGCAGACAGGGCCUCCCUAGUCUAAAUGGGACCCUAUUAUUCGGCGCCGAGAGAGAAGUCACCCUAUGCAUCGCCGGGUCAAAGUAACUAAAAAAGCCUUGUCGGCAAAUAAUAAGCGGUCCCGACCCAAAAUUUCAAUGGAGCGAUACCCACAUGCAUGGUUCUUACUUUCUUCUUCUUGUUUGUUCUUGGUUAUAGUCGUGGUUGUUACUUAUUCUUUUACUUUGUGUCAAAUAAAAGAAAGUUCAUUUAAGAACAUCAACAAACUUUGGGACAUUAAUUUUCUGUAAUUCUCUUUAUUAUGCAUUAGAGAUCCCAGGUCUUUCUUACUCGAUCGUAUAUUCGUAGCAAUUUGUUUGAGAGAGAGAGAGAGAGAGAGAGAGAGAGAGAGAGAGAGCUUGCAUCUUAUUAACAAUCUAUGAAUACUGAGCUCGACAGAAAAUAUUAUAGUAAAAUGAUCUGAUGGAUAGAAUACGUACAGGACGUAUAAUCUCAAAAAAAAAAAAAAAAAAAAAAAAGAAUUACAGGACAUGUAUAUAUAUAGAAGUGUUGAGAAUAUUAGAACCUACGUAUAUGAUCCUCCACUUCUUUUAUGGAAAAGGGAAAAAAUAAAACAAAUUGAAGAAUGAAAGAAGUGUGUGUAUAUAUAUAUAUAUAUAUA